rnacentral:rRNA from 1 species
CACGUAGGAGACAAGCGUUAUCCGGAUUUACUGGGUGUAAAGCGCGUGCAGGCGGUAGGAUAAGUUGGAUGUGAAAGCUCCUGGCUUAACUGGGAGAGGUCGUUCAAGACUGUCUUACUAGAGUGCAGCAGAGGGGAGUGGAAUUCCGAGUGUAGCGGUAAAAUGCAUAGAUAUUCGGAAGAACACCAGUGGCGAAGGCGGCUCUCUGGGCUGCAACUGACGCUCAGACGCGAAAGCUAGGGUAGCGAACGGG